AGUGAACGCUGGCGGUAGGCCUAACACAUGCAAGUCGAACGGCAGCACAGUAAGAGCUUGCUCUUACGGGUGGCGAGUGGCGGACGGGUGAGGAAUACAUCGGAAUCUACUUUUUCGUGGGGGAUAACGUAGGGAAACUUACGCUAAUACCGCAUACGACCUACGGGUGAAAUCAGGGGAUCUUCGGACCUUGCGCGUUUGAAUGAGCCGAUGUCGGAUUAGCUAGUUGGCGGGGUAAAGGCCCACCAAGGCGACGAUCCGUAGCUGGUCUGAGAGGAUGAUCAGCCACACUGGAACUGAGACACGGUCCAGACUCCUACGGGAGGCAGCAGUGGGGAAUAUUGGACAAUGGGCGCAAGCCUGAUCCAGCCAUACCGCGUGGGUGAAGAAGGCCUUCGGGUUGUAAAGCCCUUUUGUUGGGAAAGAAAAGCAGCAGGUUAAUACCCCGCUGUUCUGACGGUACCCAAAGAAUAAGCACCGGCUAACUUCGUG
rnacentral:rRNA from 1 species